rnacentral:rRNA from 1 species
ACCAGGAUUAGAUACCCUGGUAGUCCAUGCCGUAAACAAUGUCUACUAUCCGUUGGGGCCUUUGAGGCUUUAGUGGCGCAGCUAACGCGAUAAGUAGACCGCCUGGGGAGUACGGUCGCAAGACUAAAACUCAAAUGAAUUGACGGGGGCCCGCACAAGCGGUGGAGCAUGUGGUUUAAUUCUAUGCAACGCGAAGAACCUUACCUGGUCUUGACAUAUUAAGAACUUUCCAGAGAUGGAUUGGUGCCUUCGGGAACUUACAUACAGGUGCUGCAUGGGUGUCGUCAGCUCGUGUCGUGAGAUGUUGGGUUAAGUCCCGCAACGAGCGCAACCCUUUUCCUUAUUUGCCAGCACUUCGGGUGGGAACUUUAAGGAUACUGCCAGUGACAAACUGGAGGAAGGCGGGGACGACGUCAAGUCAUCAUGGCCCUUACGACCAGGGCUACACACGUGCUACAAUGGUCGGUACAAAGGGUUGCUACCUACCGAUAGGAUGCUAAUCUCAAAAAGCCGAUCGUAGUCCGGAUUGGAGUCUGCAACUCGACUCCAUGAAGUCGGAAUCGCUAGUAAUCGCGGAUCAGAAUGCCGCGGUGAAUACGUUCCCGGGCCUUGUACACACCGCCCGUCACACCAUGGGAGUUUGUUGCACCAGAAGUAGGUAGUCUAACCGUAAGGAGGACGCUUACCACGGUGUGGCCGAUGACUGGGGUGAAGUCGUAACAAGGUAACC